rnacentral:sRNA from 1 species
GCCGGGUGCGGUGGCGCACCCCUGUAAUUCCAGUGGUUUGGGAGGCUGAGGCAGGAGUAUUGCCCCAGCAACUUAGUGAAGUCCUAAGCAACUUAGGAAACCCCUGUCUCAA